AUUGAACGCUGGCGGCAGGCCUAACACAUGCAAGUCGAGCGGAGCGGCGGACGGGUGAGUAAUGCCUAGGAAUCUGCCUGUUAGUGGGGGAUAACGUACGGAAACGGGCGCUAAUACCGCCUAAUAUCAGAUGGUCCUAGGUCGGAUUCGCUAGUUGGUGGGGUAAAUGCCUACCACGGCGACGAUCCGUAACUGGCCUGAGUUGAUGAUCAGUCACACUGGAAAUGAGACACGGUCCAGACUCCUACGGGAGGCAGCAGUGGGGAAUAUUGGACAAUGGGCGAAAGCCUGAUCCAGCCAUGCCUCGUGUUUGAAGAAGGUCUUAGGAUUGUAAAGCACUUUAAGUUUGGAGGCGUUACCAACAGAAUAAGCACCGGCUAACUUCGUGCCAGCAGCCGCGGUAAUAC
rnacentral:rRNA from 1 species